CCUUAGAAAAGCCGCCGGACCCGCUUCCCGCUUUUCUGGCAGAGCAGCCGGCCCCGCUUCCCUCGCCCCCGGCAUCCGCCGCAGCUGAGGGCGACCGUGCGCCGUCUCGGCCGGCCCCGCUGACACCAGUGGCGCUCCCGCCCCCUCUCCAUUCUCUCGCUCCAGGGGUUCGUCCCCCCCUCCCUUCGCCGCCAAGAUGCCGCGGAUUAUGAUUAAAGGCGGCGUAUGGCGGAACACCGAGGAUGAAAUUCUGAAAGCAGCUGUUAUGAAAUAUGGCAAGAACCAGUGGUCUCGAAUUGCCUCAUUAUUGCACAGGAAAUCAGCAAAGCAGUGCAAAGCCAGAUGGUACGAAUGGCUGGACCCGAGCAUCAAAAAGACAGAGUGGUCUCGGGAGGAGGAGGAGAAGCUGUUGCACCUGGCCAAGCUGAUGCCAACCCAGUGGAGAACCAUUGCCCCCAUCAUUGGGAGAACUGCUGCACAGUGCUUGGAACACUAUGAAUUUCUGCUGGACAAAGCUGCUCAGAGAGACAAUGAGGAAGAAACUGCUGAUGAUCCUCGGAAACUGAAACCUGGAGAAAUCGAUCCAAAUCCAGAAACCAAACCUGCCAGGCCAGAUCCCAUUGACAUGGAUGAAGAUGAGCUUGAAAUGCUGUCUGAGGCUCGAGCACGUCUGGCAAAUACACAGGGAAAGAAGGCCAAGAGGAAAGCCAGGGAGAAGCAGCUGGAAGAAGCUCGACGCCUUGCUGCUCUCCAGAAAAGACGAGAACUUCGCGCUGCUGGAAUUGAGAUCCAGAAGAAAAGAAAAAAGAAGAGAGGUGUGGAUUACAACGCAGAAAUUCCAUUUGAAAAGAAGCCUGCCCCUGGUUUUUAUGAUACAUCAGAAGAAAAUUAUCAGUCCCUGGAUGCAGAUUUCAGGAGACUGCGUCAGCAAGACCUGGAUGGAGAAUUAAGAUCUGAGAGGGAGGGAAGAGAGCGCAAAAAGGACAAGCAGCACAUGAAACGGAAAAAAGAGUCAGACUUGCCCUCAGCUAUUCUGCAGACCAGUGGAGUGUCAGAAUUCACCAAGAAAAGGAGUAAACUGGUGCUUCCAGCUCCUCAGAUAUCUGAUACAGAACUUGAAGAAGUUGUAAAAGUUGGCCAAGCAAGUGAGAUUGCACGGCAGACUGCUGAGGAAUCUGGAAUCACAAACUCAGCUUCCAGCACUCUUCUCUCUGAGUAUAAUGUAACCAACAACAGCAUAGCUCUGAGGACUCCCAAAACUCCAGCAGCCCAGGACAGGAUCCUGCAGGAGGCCCAGAAUCUGAUGGCUCUCACAAAUGUGGAUACUCCCCUGAAAGGAGGUCUUAAUACUCCCUUGCAUGAAAGUGACUUUUCAGGGGUAACACCACAGAAACAGGUUGUUCAGACUCCAAAUACUGUGCUUUCCACACCUUUCAGAACACCCUCUCAGGGGUCAGAGGGCUUAACUCCUCGAGGAGGACUGACUCCCAAACCUGCCCUUGGCACAACUCCUGGGAGAACUCCCCUGCGGGAUAAACUGAACAUCAACCCUGAAGAGGGAAUGGCAGAUUACAGUGACCCAUCCUAUGCAAAACAAAUGGAGAGAGAGUCUCGGGAGCACCUGCGCCUGGGGCUCAUGGCCCUCCCUGCUCCAAAGAACGACUUUGAGAUUGUUCUGCCUGAAAAUGCAGAAAAGGAGCUUGAAGAACAUGAAGUAGAUGAAACCUUUGUAGAAGAUGCUGCUGAUAUAGAAGCCCGCAAGCAGGCUCUCCGAGAAGCAGAGCGUGCCAAGGAGCUGAAGAGAAUGCACAAAGCUGUGCAGAAGAAUCUACCACGGCCCUCAGAAGUCAACGAAACAAUACUGAGACCCUUAAAUGUGGAACCACCCCUAACAGACUUGCAGAAAAGUGAAGAACUCAUAAAGAAAGAGAUGAUUACCAUGCUUCAUUUUGAUCUUUUACAUCAUCCAUUUGGAGAACAGUUUACUGGUAAGAAAGGCAAAGGCCCAGGAUUUGGAAGCAACAACGCUGAGCACAUGGCUUACUUGGAACAAAAUCCUUAUGAGAAGUUCUCCAAAGAGGAUCUCAAGAAGGCACAGGAUCUACUGGCACAAGAGAUGGAGGUGGUAAAGCAAGGAAUGGGGCAUGGAGAGCUGUCAAGUGAAGCUUAUAACCAGGUGUGGGAAGAAUGUUACAGCCAAGUGCUGUACCUGCCUGGACAGAGCCGCUACACAAGGGCUAACUUGGCCAGCAAAAAGGACAGGAUAGAGUCACUUGAAAAGAGACUCGAGAUCAACAGAGGCCACAUGACCACUGAAGCCAAGAGGGCUGCCAAGAUGGAGAAGAAGCUGAAGAUCCUUCUUGGUGGUUACCAGUCUCGAGCAAUGGGGCUCAUCAAGCAGCUGAACGAUCUGUGGGACCAGAUCGAGCAGGCCCACCUGGAGCUGCGCACCUUUGAGGAGCUGAAGAAACACGAGGAUGCUGCCAUCCCUCGGAGACUGGAGUGUCUGAAGGAAGAUGUGCAGCGACAGCAGGAGAGAGAAAAGGAACUCCAGCAGAGAUUUGCUGACUUCAUGUUGGAUAAAGAGACUUUUCAAGCAAAGUAUUAAAGCGCAAAAUUCCAUCUGUCACUGAUGCAACAUUUCUAAAGUGUGCAGAUACUUCUCCAGCAGCUUUUGCCAGCAGUUGCAGAAAUCAAGUGUAGUCUGCUGUUUCCAUCUUGUCAAGUUUUGUUCCUUCAAUGGACUAUUCCAAAUGCUCUAGGGCUGCAGCAGAGCCUCUUUGAUGUGCCCUGUAUUUUUGACAGCUUUGGAGCUAGACAGGUAUUCAAACUCUGACUUAAAUUGUUUAAAUGAAAAAUUCAGAAGGACUGAUCAGUCACAAAAGACUUUUCUUUCUUGAAAUGUAUGCAAUUAACCAGUCAUUAAUUGCAGCAGGCACGAGGUGGUUCUAUUUGAGAAGUAUCUGCAGGUGGUUUGCUCAGUGUUUCUGUAGUACAGUUUGUUCACACAACACUUAAGCAAGUUCACAGUUUUCCCUGUCUUUAACCAGAGUUUUUGUCCUAAUGAAAGAAAACUAAUAAAGUCUCUUUCCUUAGUUAGAGCUUGGCUGUGCCCUGCUUUAGCUUUUUACCUGCCCUCAGCUGCCUGCUCUAGGGCAGCCAGUGACAGAUCUGCUGAAAUCGCCCCAAAAACUUCACACAGGGUGCUCUGUGCAUUUGUUGGUUCUAGAAUGGUGUGAAUGGAGCAGCAGAGCCUGGAUAAAACAUCCUGAGAUCAUUCGGGUGUGGGAUCUUAAACUGGAGUGCUCAGGAAAUCUGUCCAAGCAAAUUUGGAUGCUGGUAGAUGCCAGUGCUUCCAGCUGCAGGUGAUGAUGGAGCUGGGGCUUGCCAGAUCUAUUUCUUGGGCUUAGGCCCAAUUUAUGUCCUGAACAGCACUCCCUGAAUCUCUGUCUAAAUGGCUGUGUAGCUGCAUGCAGAUGUUUGUUGGACACAAGAGUGACCAGCACACCUUUGCAAUAAAUUUUUAUUUUAAAAUUCUGAAGCCAGCCACUGAUUUGAUCUUUCUUUCCAGGAACAAUAAUAAGUAUAAUCAUAAACAAUGCAAAUUUGUGAACAUUUCACUACAGUGGGGAAGCUCUAACCUGUGUGACAGAGGUGGGAUGGGGGCUGUGCUGUGUGUGUUAACAAUUAUUUUGAGAAUUAUUUAACAUUCUCCCCGAGAAAUUCCUCCAUUUCCAUUCAGCAUGCCAAAAUAUAUCUGCAAGCCUUUAAAUAAUUUCAGCUGCUGAUUUUCCUCCCUUCCUGGAAUCAAACUUGGCAUUUAUGUAUUGGAUCAAUCCCAUAGCUGGAGCCUGCUUCAAAGUCUGUGGAGUUGAUAAGGCUGUCAUUUACUUCAAUUGAUUUGGAUUCCAGUACCUGGGAAAGCCAAGGGGACUAAAUUAUAACAGCUGGGUGUCUCAUCCAUACCCAACAGAUAACAGAGAUCCUGAGCUCAGGGUAAGGGGGAGACUCCUCAGAGGCAAAGGAGCUUCCCUGUGAGAAAUCCAACAGAGCUGAAGCCAGCUCUUCCAAACCUGGCAAAUCUCCAGAGAAAAAAGCACUGUGUAACACUGUAAUUAGUCACGGCAGCCAGCGGUGGCCAAGACACACCAGAGCUCUCUGGCUGCCUUAAAAAGACACUUCCAGUGCCAACAGGAGCAUCUUGUCUUUGCCUGUUGCUGCUUGUUUGCCUUUUGCACCCUUGUUUGCUGAGACAAGCAUUGGGGCAGCACAUUUGGGUUCAAAUAUGUUCAUCCAGCUUGAUUGUCCAAUCCCCUGUCCAGAGCAGACGUGAGUUGGGCCACAUUUCCAGGCAGGAAGUGCAAGUGAUGGUGAAAGUGGGGCAGAAUAGGGUCCAAAGAGGGGCAGUGGAGCUGGGGAAGGCUCUGGAGCACAAGGGAGCAGCUGAGGGAGCUGUGGGGGGCUCAGCCUGGAGAAAAGGAGGCUCAGGAAGGACUUUCUGGCUCUUCGCAACCCCCUGGCAGGAGGAGGCAGCCAGGUGGUGGUCAGGCUCUUCUCCCUGGUAACCAGUGAUAGGGCAAGAAGAAAUAGCCUCAAAUUACACCAAGAAGGGCUAACUUGGAUAUUGGAAAAUAUUUCUUCAUUGAAAGGGUGAUCAGGCAUUGGAAUGGUCUGCACAGGGAAGCAGAGCAGUGACCACCCCUGGAAGUGUUCAAAAACCAUGUCGAUGUGGUGCUUAGAGACCUGGUUUAGCUUUGGGCUUGGCAAUGCUGGGUUAAUGUUUGUACUUGAUGAUCUUAGAAGUCUUUUCUGACCUUAAUGAUUCUUGUGAUUGCUUCUGUCAGAGGAUGUCCCACUUCAUUGUCUGCCUAAAGUGAGUGUGAAACAUGGGCUGGGUGCUCCAGGGCCAGUAGCUGACAUGAGGUAACUACCCACAAUUAAGUCCCUGACAGACUCAGCUGGAUCUGUGCCCCUGAUGAAAACUCUGGAAAUUCAUUGUUUUUUGUCAUCAUGGCCGGAGCAUAGAUUUCUAAAUAAAAUGCAUAAAAACCCA